GCACAACACUGCAGAGUAUCCAUAAUCGCUACUAUAUUGGAAAAUUAUUAAAGAUUGUCUUCAAGAACCUUUAUUCUUUCCAUACUGGAGGAAAGAAUAAAACUCGUUAAUGCAACGAGUUUUGCCUGCAGGGCACAGUUUCAAUUCCCCCUGAGAAGACCCUGGAUUUCAGAUGUGAAUGUCGGAGCCCUCCCCUGUGAUCUCUAGGACUGCUAUUAGGACAAGGCAUGGUUCCACCUUCACGGGAAACCGCUCCUCUAAAUACUGCUUCUUGAUUGCAUCUGAUUGGUGCCAGCUGGAGGCUUCACCUGCCUGUACACCCGACAAGUAAGGUGAAAGCACCCAAAAAGCUGUGCUACCUCAGCACCAACGCUUAGCUGGACUGGAAAAUGGAACAGAGGAAAACCAAUUAAAAUGCUGUUAGCUCCAAGUUUAAAACUUCCAAGUUGGUUUCACUUUUGGCUGCCUAAUUAAAGACAAAAACAACACUGAACUUCAACUUUCAUCAAAAUGUGGAUCAAACGUGAAAUAACAUGACCUCAUAGUUUGUUUUUUUUUGUCCUCCCACUGAUAGCAAAAGUAAAUCAACACGGUGAAUAGAACCGACCUGAUAGUCACCGAUUUGAACUGGAGUUUGAAACAAUGCCUACAGCUUCACUUGUUUUAAACACAGUGUGGUAUUUGAUUAUCAUCAGCUUGUUUGUAUGCUUGAAACAUUAUCUGUACCUCCAUAUUGCCAUUGGCAUUAACAGCAACAAUAUAGGCUUGAGUUGCAAUGAGCCUUGCAGAGCAGUAUGCUAUGAAAACGUUUGUCAUGAAUCUGAAUGCAGAUUAUAGCAAGAGGAUGACUAUGAAUUAUAUUAAUAAACUAACUCCCAACACACCGAUCAUCGGAAGAAACUGAAUACAAAACAGAUUUUAAAUUAUAGAAAUUUUUAAUGUAAAAAAUGUUUCGAGUGAUACAGCCCUGGGUUAUCUCUAAAGGCAACUAAACCAGAUAGGCCCUUCAUGUUUUUUUUAUUAUGCCAGAAACUAUCUGAAACUGCUUUAGCAGAUAAACCCUACCUGACCCUUUCACAGUCAUCUGCAGGGUCAUCACCACCAAUUGGUGCACAUCCCCAACUUGCUAAUGAGGGGUGGUGACACUGAGAACAAAGUAAAUGAUCUUUUUAAAUAAAAUACUUCCUGUUCUGUUUUUUUUUUAAUAAAUUCUACAUUUAUUCCCC